AACGUAGGACACAAGCGUUAUCCGGAGUUACUGGGCGUAAAGGGCGUGUAGGCGGACCUAUAAGUCUAUUCUGAAAGCUCCUGGCUAAACUGGGAGAGGCGAAUGGAGACUGUAGAUCUAGAGUGAGGAAGAGGAAAGUGGAAUUCCGCGUGUAGUGGUGAAAUGCGUAGAGAUGCGGAGGAACACCAGUGGCGAAAGCGACUUUCUGGUCCUUAACUGACGCUGAGGCGCGAAAGCGUGGGGAGCGAACAGG
rnacentral:rRNA from 1 species